UCUCUCCCUGUAGUUAAUUUAUGAGCAGUCGGUUAUGAGACAGGCACAAAAAAUAGUUGUCUAUCCGACCCACAUACUUCACCCAGAAUUUCAGCUUUUACCCUCUGGUAGAAGAUUCAGGGUUCCCAAAUGCAGGUUGAACCAAUAUAAACACUCAUUUGUGCCUAUGUCCAUUAAGCUUAUCAACACUAACAUGUAGGCUGGCUGGGUUAUGCACUAUGUCACCGUG